rnacentral:rRNA from 1 species
GACGUAGGCAGCAAGCGUUGUUCGGAGUUACUGGGCGUAAAGGGUGCGUAGGUGGCUCUAUAAGUAUGGUGUGAAAUCUCCCGGCUUAACUGGGAGGGUGCGCCGUAGACUGUGGGGCUAGAAUGUGGGAGAGGAAAGUGGAAUUCCUGGUGUAGCGGUGAAAUGCGUAGAUAUCAGGAGGAACACCGGCGGCGAAGGCGGCCCUCUGGAUCGUUGCUGACGCUGAGACGCGAAAGCGUGGGGAGCAAACAGG